CCUACGGGUGGCAGCAGUGAGGAAUAUUGGUCAAUGGCCGAGAGGCUGAACCAGCCAAGUCGCGUGAGGGAAGACGGCCCUACGGGUUGUAAACCUCUUUUGUCGGGGAGCAAAGCGAACCACGUGUGGUUCAUUGAGAGUACCCGAUGAAAAAGCAUCGGCUAAAUCCGUGCCAGCAGCCGCGGUAAUACGGAGGAUGCGAGCGUUAUCCGGAUUUAUUGGGUUUAAAGGGUGCGCAGGCGGAGGUGCAAGCCGGCGGGAAAAUUGCGGGGCUCAACCCCGUACUGCCGUUGAAACUGCAUCCCUUGAGUGCGCGAGAAGUAUGCGGAAUGCGUGGUGUAGCGGUGAAAUGCAUAGAUAUCACGCAGAACUCCGAUUGCGAAGGCAGCAUACCGGCGCGCAACUGACGCUCAUGCACGAAGGCGUGGGUAUCGAACAGGAUUAGAUACCCGAGUAGUC
rnacentral:rRNA from 1 species